UUCUGUGGCGUUUACGUCAAGUGGAGAAAUCUUAGACAUUAAGAAUCCCAGACAAAUCCUUGGCCUGUUUUCCCUUCUAUUUCUCAGGCAUAUAUCAUCUUGUUCAUUUCAUUUGUUGGAUAAAUUUUCUCUCUUGAAAUUUCCCAGAAAAAAUCUCAGAAGCUCCACCACAAGGAAUCCAUUUCCCAGAUAAGUUUCUUUUUCAUUCUUGUUAUACGAGCAAGAAUAUAUCGUUUUUGUUUGCAGCUGAUAUAGGGGUUUGUCUGUUUGCUUCUCUCUGAAUUGGGAUUUGUUUAUUCUCGUAUAAGCAGUAGCAAAUCCUUAUUCGGAGAGAGAUAUAUAUUAAUAUCUGGUAUUACUUGCCUUCUUGUUGAGGUUUCAUCAUUAAAAUUCAUACCGUAAGGGUUAAAGAGGAACCCAUUUGAGCUUCAAGGAAGAAAGUUGAGAUUUUGAAGCUAUUUUGUACAAAUUGAAACCACUUGGGGGUGUUGUGUGAAAGAUUUGCUUCUGGUGUUAAUAGACUUAGCCUGUGCAAGAGUAGUGUCCUGGUGUGCUUGAUUGAUGUGUGUAUUAGAGUAAAAGGGAACUAAAGUUUUAGAGCUCUCUAUAUUUUUAUUGUUAACCAUUUGAAAGUUUUGUGAUAUUGGUUGGUUGGGUUUAGAUUGUGAAGCUAACGUAGUUUCAAUACUCAGCAUUCUAGGUUUUGAUUUGUAUUAUUGAAUUAGGUCUCGAGUGAUUUGACAUAUAAGUUAUUGGAGUUGUUAGAGUGAAUUGCUAGGUUUGCUAUGGGGAAGCAGAGUGGGAAGAAAAAGAAACAGGGAGGAGGACAAUCAAGUGAUAAUAAUGCGAAGCAAACCAAUGUUGGGGAUAAUAGCCCGAAAGCCUACGAUAAGGACACGACAGUUUUCAUUUCCAUGUCACAGGAAUUGAAGGAGGAGGGAAACAAGCUGUUCCAAAAGAGGGACCUCGAAGGAGCCAUGUUGAAAUAUGAUAAAGCCAUGAAAUUGCUUCCGAGAAACCACAUUGAUGUGUCCUAUCUCAGGAGUAACUUGGCUACAUGCUAUAUGCAGAUGGGUGUGAGCGAGUAUCCCAGGGCAAUCCAUGAGUGCAAUUUGGCACUAGAAGUGACACCCAAGUACAGUAAAGCACUAUUAAAGAGGGCAAGGUGUUAUGAGGCAUUGAAUAGGCUAGAUUUGGCUCUGAGAGAUGCCACUGCAGUUGUGAACGUGGAACCAAAUAAUGUCAUGGCGUUAGAAAUUGCUGAAAGGAUUAAAAAGACACUUGAGAAUAAAGGGUUGAGAGUGAAUGAUGCGAUAAUUGAAUUGCCUCCAGAAUACGUUGAACCUCCUUCUGCUUCACCUAUGCCAAAAGCUGCAAAAGAGAAGGCGAGGAAGAAAAAGAAGAGCAAAAAAGUUGAGGAUAAGCAGGCCUCAGACAUGAUUGAGGAGAAGCGGGUUGAUGAGAAAAUUGAGGAGACGAAGGCUGAGGAUAAGGUGGUCGUGGAGGAGAGAAUCAGUAUUACAAAAGACGAAGAGCCAAAGAAGACUGUAAAAUUGGUGUUUGGGGAGGAUAUAAGGUGGGCUCAGUUGCCAUGUAAUUGCAGCCUCCUACAAGUAAGGGAAGUUAUACGUGAUCGGUUUCCAAGUUCAAGGGCAGUUCUUAUUAAGUACAGGGACCAGGAAGGUGAUUUGGUCACAAUUACCACAGAUGAAGAACUAAGAUGCGCUGAAGCAACGGCAGAAUCACAUGGUUCAGUCAGGCUGUACAUAGUGGAAGUUAAUCCUAUGCAGGAUAUGUUCUCCGAGAGAUUUAUGCCUGAGGUGCACCAGCUUGACAUCAAAAAAAGUAAUGGAGCUGAGAAUGGAAAUGUGGGUAAAGGCAAAGGAACAGAAAAUGGGUCAUAUUACAUUGAUGACUGGAUAGUUGAGUUUGCAAAGCUGUUUAAGAUAAACGUUGGGCUUGAUUCUGAUGCAUACCUGAAUCUUCAUGAACUUGGUAUGAAAGUAUACUCUGAGGCCGUGGAGGAUACAGUCACAAGUGAAGAAGCCCAAGGCCUUUUUGAUACAGCAGCAGAUAAGUUCCAGGAGAUGGCAGCUUUAGCACUAUUCAACUGGGGAAAUGUUCACAUGUCGAGGGCAAGGAAGAGGGUGUUCUUCACUGAAGAUGCUUCAAGAGAAUCUGUAAUUGAACAAAUCAAGACUGGAUAUGACUGGGCCCGAAAUGAAUAUACAAAAGCCGGACAGAGAUAUGAAGAAGCCUUGAAAAUAAAACCUGAUUUUUAUGAAGGAUUUCUGGCUCUAGGGCAGCAGCAGUUUGAGCAGGCAAAGCUUUCUUGGUACUAUGCAAUUAGCAGCAAUGCAAAUUUGGAAACCUGGCCCUCCUCAGAGGUCUUACAACUAUAUAACAGUGCUGAGGAAAACAUGGAAAGGGGAAUGCAGAUGUGGGAAGAACUGGAAGGGCUACGAUGGAGUGAACUUGCAAAACUCAAGAAUCUUAAAAGCCAGUCAGAGAUAAUGGGGCUGGAUGAUCUAUUUAGGGAUAUAUCGGCAGAAGAAGCUGCAGAGCAAGCCUCAAACAUGAGUUCCCAGAUUAACCUCUUCUGGGGCACCAUACUUUAUGAGCGAUCUCUUAUGGAAUUCAAGUUAGGGAUUCCAGUCUGGGAAGAAUGUUUGGAAGUCGCAGUUGAGAAGUUUGAGCUUGCAGGAGCUUCUGCAACUGAUAUAGCCGUAAUGAUAAAGAACCACUAUUCAAACAAUAAUGCUUUGGAAGGUUUAAGUUUUAAAAUUGAUGAGAUAAUACAGGCAUGGAAUGAGAUGUACGAAGCUAAGAAGUUUCAUAGUCAUGUUCGGUCAUUUCGGUUGGAAGCACUACUGCGACGACGAGUUCCAAAAUUCUAUCACGCCUUGGAGCAUGUAUGACUGGCAUGUUGUAAAGGGAAGGUGAAAAAGACAAUUGCGUUGAACUUACAUUUAGUGCUCCCAUCAACGUGAAUUUCUAGUAUGCAUAUGAGAUAGGUUUCUUUGUCUCUAGCUUUAAGGUUCAGAUUCAGCGCUAUAUUUUUAGCAGGAAGAGAAAACAGUUGCAAAGAGUAGUAUAAUUGUUGUGAGAAAAUAGGUACUUCAGUUUCGUUUACACGGUGGGGAAAAGCGAGGUUGCAGAAAUGUCCAUUUUUGUUGAUUUCUGUGUUCACUGGCAUUGCCCUUUUUUUCUUUUGACAUCAAGCAGGGAGCUGUAUUCUUAAUUCAUUGUUAAGUAGGCAAUAACCAUGAUUUGUUUCUUUGUA